rnacentral:rRNA from 1 species
CAUUAACGUAUUUUGUAAUAUUAUCUUAGUUUAGUAACUAAAAUGGUUUGGCAGUGAGUGAUUCUUUUUAGGGGAAGGUGUGGUGUAAAGGAUGUUCCGCCUAUUAAUUUACUUUUAUUAUGUUGGUGUAUAUCUGGUUUAAUAUUAUCGUUGAGUGAUGUAUAAGUUUGUGUAGGUUUUAGUUAAGCUAAGUCUAUGUGCUGCUUAUAAAAGUAUACAUGCGUUACAUUGAUAAAGUUUUAGUUGUAAGUGCUAUUAUAUUCAGGACUUAAAAGUAAUGUUAAAUUAGUUUGUUAAUGUGAAGUAAGUUUAGCUCAUGUACACACCGCCCGUCACCCUCGAUUUAUAUUGAG